ensembl:lncRNA
AGUGUUUGGUUGAUUGCACUUUCCACUAUCUCAGGGUUUCCACGUAUUAUCCACCCCCCCAGCCAAUAAAAAAUGGUUGAUAGACUGGAGUUGUGUGGAUUAUUGUGAUGCUUUUAUAAGAUGUUUGAGCUCUCAUUCUGAUGACACCCAUUCACUGCAGAGGAUCCACUGGUAUUGAUUUAGGGAUGAGGCAAAGACUCAAAUGCAUGAUGCAAUGGGCUCUUUAUUAAUAAUAAAAAACAAACAAAUACAAAAAAACUAAAUUGAGCUAUACAGAAAUGCAGAGAACCAAACACAUCGCUCCACACAUACAAUAUCACACGGACAAGAGAGCAACAAACCUGAGCCCACUCAAAGCCACGUGCUCUCAACAAAGACAAGACGAUAGGACUGUCAAUGCUGUCACCAAACCAAAGAAUAAACCAGACCCGA